rnacentral:rRNA from 1 species
AGGACGAACGCUGGCGGCGUGCUUAACACAUGCAAGUCGAGCGGUAAGGCCUUUCGGGGUACACGAGCGGCGAACGGGUGAGUAACACGUGGGUGAUCUGCCCUGCACUUCGGGAUAAGCCUGGGAAACUGGGUCUAAUACCGGAUAUGACCUCCUAUCGCAUGGUGGGUGGUGGAAAGAUUUAUCGGUGCAGGAUGGGCCCGCGGCCUAUCAGCUUGUUGGUGGGGUAAUGGCCUACCAAGGCGACGACGGGUAGCCGACCUGAGAGGGUGACCGGCCGCACUGGGACUGAGACACGGCCCAGACUCCUACGGGAGGCAGCAGUGGGGAAUAUUGCACAAUGGGCGAAAGCCUGAUGCAGCGACGCCGCGUGAGGAUGACGGCCUUCGGGUGUAAACCUCUUUCAGCAGGACGAAGCGCAAGUGACGGUACCUGCAGAAGAAGCACCGGCUAACUACGUGCCAGCAGCCGC